rnacentral:lncRNA from 1 species
UAGGACUGUAGCUCUUGUUUUAGUUCGAGAGCCGUUUGGAGAGCUUAAUUUAUAUGCUUUGUACCUUUUUUCCCCUAAAAUUACCAAAGAUAUUCCACAAAGUUAAAUUAUGUUCUCUGUUUUUAUGCUUUAUCUGAUGAAGCCAAAUAUCCUCUUCUUGUUGAUCAAAGGAGGCAAAAUAAUUUAGAGGCAAUUGAUGAGAUAUAGGCUAUUGCUAACUUGAGACAACUGCUCCUUCAUCAUAGAGGACAUUUAGGAGACCAAGUAGGUAAUGGAACCAAAGUAGUUACUUUUUUUUUUUUUUAAUCAUUUUUUGUUGUUUGUUUUUUUCCUACAGAGACCAAAACUCAUUCCUGUAAAGAGAAAUUACGGGGCUACUGAAGGGAGAAAUAGGAUACAGUAUUAAGGGUGUACCAUCUCCAAGGAAAAACAAAAACAGUGUAUGGCAUAUGAAACUUAGGGG